rnacentral:rRNA from 1 species
GACGGAGGGUGCAAACGUUGUUCGGAAUCACUGGGCAUAAAGAGCACGUAGGCUGCGCGCUAAGUCAGGUGUGAAAUCCCCCGGCUCGACCGGGGAACUGCACCUGAUACUGGCGUGCUCGAGGACGGUAGGGGUGAGUGGAACUCCAGGUGGAGCGGUGAAAUGCGUAGAUAUCUGGAGGAACACCGGUGGCGAAAGCGGCUCACUGGACCGUCUCUGACGCUGAGGUGCGAAAGCUAGGGUAGCAAACGGG